rnacentral:lncRNA from 1 species
GCUGUGAAGUCCAAGAUUGAGAGGCUGCAUCUGGUGAGGGCCUUCUUGCUGCAUCAAAACGUGGCACCAGGCAGCAUAUGGCGAGGAAGAUGAUUGAGACAGAGAGAAAAUGGUGGCUGUGCUUAUCUUUUUAUCAGGAGCCCACUCCCUCUAUCCAUCACCAGGGUCUCUAAUGUAGGCGGUGAUCUCCAAGCUAAGUAUCCUUAUGAAACCAUUUGGAAGAAGAUUUAAACUGGCUGGAAAGUUUAAUGCUAUUAGAAAAUAUUCAUUUUGGCACAGCGGCCCCCUGCUCUGCUCUGCUUUCAGAUCAUGCAUGUCUGUGACAUCCGUGAGCGCUG